rnacentral:lncRNA from 1 species
AGAUUUUUUGACUGCUUCUUAUCUUCCCUGCAAACUCCUCCAUUUUUCUCUCUCCAGCCAUCGUGAGCUUGUCAUCAUCUUCUUCGUCGUUCCAACCAUCUCAUCAGAUUCAGCACCUUUCUAUUAGCAUCAUUGAAAUUUAUUGGUUCUCAUCGCCCUUUUAGUGACCUACCUCAAUUUGUUUUGCCAUUCAUUAGGUAAUUGUUAACUUUUAUUUUGUUUUCUAUUAAUGCAAAAUUAAUUCUACUAUGCCAUGGUUCUCUAAUCUUUUCAUUCAAAUUAAUUAUAGUAUUCAUAAUAAUAUCAGGUUGAUCAUACAAAUGGAUCAUUCUAGUGAUAAAGAAGAAGAAGAACUAGCUCCGAAUAUUUAGGACAAGAUCAAGAUAAAAUUAGGGCACUUUGUUGUAGGGGUAGGCAAAAAAACCGUAGUCUUAAAAAAACCGAACCGAACCGAACCGACGGUUUUUUCUAAUUCGGUUUGGUUUUUAUUUUUUUAAAAAACCGAAUAUACCGUUUGUAAAAAAAAUUGAAAUGUCGGUUCGGUAUUCGGUUCACUUAGCUAAACCGAAAAACCGAACUGAAAAACCGAAUUAUUUUUUUAUUUUAUUCAAAUUAAACAUGUGUUAAUAAUUUUAUUCAAAUCAAACAUGAUUUUAUUCAAAUCAAACAUGUGUUAUUUCUCUUUAUAACAUUAUGAUUAUGUUUAUAUAGAUGGAGUAUUGGAGUUUGGUUAUAUAUUUUGAAAUUUUAAUAUUUCAUAUAUUUGGGAGUAUCUUAUUAAUAGUUAGUAAGAUAUUAGUGAUAAAAUGUGUUUUGAAUACUUUGUAUUUAUUGUUAAUAUUUGUAAUAAAAUUAGGAUAAAUUAAUUGUUGAAAAAAAUUAUUACAUUCAUGAGGCCCAAUGGGCUAAAAAUUUAAAAAUUCAAAAUAGGCCUAAUAAGCCUAGAAUCGAAAAAACCGAACCGAACCGAUCCGAAAAGAACCGUUUGAGUUCGGUUCUUAUUGAGUUCGGUUCUUUUUAUAAAAUAACCGAUUUAAAUCGGUUCUACUUAAUUUCUAACCGAACCAAACCGUGCCCACCCCUACUUUGUUGUCCCGAUUUACUGUUUAAGAUGGGAUAAAAGACAAUUUUCCUCUUGAUUUACUAUUCAAAACAUGAUUGAGAUUGGGCAAUCCCGCUCAUAAUCUCGAUUGGGCGUCCCGAUUGCCAACCCUAGUUAAAACAUGUACAGGGCCUUCUCAUAAUAUGCUAAAUCUGAACUUUUGAUUCAUCCAUGUCACA